rnacentral:rRNA from 1 species
AUUGAACGCUGGCGGCAGGCCUAACACAUGCAAGUCGAACGAGUGGCGGACGGGUGAGUAAUGUCUGGGAAACUGCCUGAUGGAGGGGGAUAACUACUGUAAACGGUAGCUAAUACCUCAUACCAUCAGAUGUGCCCAGAUGGGAGUAGCUCGUUGGUGGGGUAACGGCUCACCAAGGCGACGAUCCCUAGCUGGUCUGAGAGGAUGAAAAGCCACACGGGAACUGAGACACGGGCCAGACUCAUACGGGAGGCAGCAGUGGGGAAUAUUGCACAAUGGGCGAAAGCCUGAUGAAGCCAUGCCGCGUGUAUGAAGAAGGCCUUCGGGUUGUAAAGUACUUUCAGCGGGGAGGCGUUAACCGCAGAAGAAGAACCGGAUAAAUCCGUGCCAGCAGCCGCGGUAAUAC